rnacentral:lncRNA from 1 species
UACAGGCACGUGCCGCCAUUCCCAGCUAAUUUUUGUAUUUUUAGUAGAGACGGGGUUUCACCAUGCUGGCCAGGCUGGUCUCGAACUCCUGACCUAAUGAUUUGCCCCCUUUGGCCUCCCAAAGUGCUGGGAUUACAGGCAUGAGCAAUUGUGCCCCGCAGAAAUUAUAUAAUUCUUAACCAUGAAAAACUAAACAUUAGACUCUGAAUUCAAAAUGAUCCCACCAAAGAAGUCCUAUCUCACUCUACCUGAUAACUCUUAACCUCAGAGUGUCAGUCUCCACUGUGGCCACCUUUGGACUGACCCAUCUUCCCCAGCUCUCAGAAUUUCCUUGCUUCUCACAGCUUGUUCACAUGCACUAAUGAAUGCGUGUAUAACUGGUGAGUUCUGAACAGACUCUCUGGAUUGUACUGAUAAAAGGUAAUUUUCAGAAAAGGGCAAAAUCAUUACUCUCAUAUGAAUGUAAAAAAGAGUAUGUGUUAAAGAAUUGGUUAAACUAAGAUGAUAUGAGAUCAUCAGGCAGAUGUUAUAAAAGGCUCAAAGGAAACAUCAAGAAUCAUCAAUGUAUAUACAGUAAAGAUAGCAAAUUGCAAAUGGAGACAAAACUGGUUUUUCCAAGGGGGACUGGGGAGAAAGUAAAUUGGAAAUCUACAGGACAAGAUAGAGUUUGCAUAUUGACAAUGUCCAACUUUACCUGAGUCCUGUGUUCCCAGAAAACAGCAAUGGUUAAGAAAUCCCCCAACCCUUUUGUGCUCUGGGAAAUGGCUUACUACAAAGAACCACUCUUUCCCAUAUAACUUAGACAAGACUCUGUCCAUUCUUCCUCACAGUUCCCAUAGGACUCACAGGUGACUCCCUUGUCCUGUGAUAAGGCCAAACACAGCCUUUUCCCGUUUUGCCUGAACCUGCCAACAAGACCAGACACAGACCCUCCAACUCCCCAUUCUUUGUCACAUGAAUGAUUAGCUGAGAUUAGGAUGACUCAUCCCCUGAAACAAGUUAGACAUAGAGGUAAAUAUUUCCUGUUCAGCUAACUGGCCAAGACUUCCUCUGAUUGCAAAACAACCCCAACAGUAAAUCACCCCACCAAUAACUUGUCUGCUCCUCCCUAUAAAAAUCUAAGACAAGGCCGGGCGUGGUGGCUCACGCCUGUAAUCCCAGCACUUUGGGAGGCUGAGGUGGGCGGAUCACGAGAGGUCAGGAGAUCGAGGCCAUCCUGGCUAACACUGUGAAACCCCAUCUCUACUAAAAAAUACAAAACAAAAUUAGCCAGGCGUGGUGGCAGGCGCCUGUAGUCCCAGCUACUCGGGAGGCUGAGGCAGGAGAAUGCCGUGAACCCGGGAGGCGGAGCUUGCAGUGAGCCGAGAUCGGGCCACAGCACUCCAGCCUGGGCGACAGAGCGAGACUCUGUCUCAAAAAAAAAAAAAAAAAAA